rnacentral:rRNA from 1 species
GCCCUUACGGUUACUUUGUUACGACUUCACCCCAGUUACCGGGCCUGCCUUCGACAGCUCCUCCCUUGCGGUUAGGCCACUGGCUUCGGGCAUUCCUGGCUCCCAUGGUGUGACGGGCGGUGUGUACAAGACCCGGGAACGUAUUCACCGCAGCAUUCUGAUCUGCGAUUACUAGCGAUUCCAGCUUCAUACAGCCGGGUUGCAGGCUGUAAUCCGAACUGGGACGCCUUUUUGUGCUUUGCUCCCCCUCGCAGGUUCGCCUCACUCUGUUGGCGCCAUUGUAGCACGUGUGUAGCCCAGCCCAUAAGGGGCAUGAUGAUUUGACGUCGUCCCCGCCUUCCUCCGGGUUAUCCCCGGCAGUCCUUACAGAGUGCCCAGCCUUGCUGCUGGCUACUGUAAGCAAGGGUUGCGCUCGUUGCGGGACUUAACCCAACAUCUCACGACACGAGCUGACGACAACCAUGCACCACCUGUCUCUGCUGUCCC